ensembl:lncRNA
UGGAGCUCCACCCCCCAUGCUCUGAAGCCAGACCCUUCUCGGGUGGACGUCGCGCUUGGAUGGGGGUAAGGUUGGUUGUCCACCACUGGCUACAGUGAGCCCUACUUGGCUAGUAGAGGGAGAAGGAUAUAAUACAAUACAGCGUGGUAUGCUCAAUCAUUGCGAUUUCAAUGUUUGGAUGUCUGAACCUCAGAUAAAUGCAGAACAUUUAUCAUGGUGAAUCUGCUGCUGCUGCUGUGUUUGAUCACUUACAGCGCUCAGUUCAAAACCUCCACUAUAUCUGUGUCAGGAGAAAAGAGAGGAAACAUCACACUCACAUGUGAACAUGAGACCAAUAAUAUUGUUCAGAUUGAGUUAAUCAGUCGGUCAGAAAUCAUAGAUGUGUGUCAGACUGAAGAAUGUAAUGGACGAGUGUUUAAAGAAGGAAACUGUGACGUCGUCAUCAAGAAUCUGAGCUUCAGUGACGCUGGGAAAUACUUUCUGAGAAUCUAUCACAAUAAUGAUCAGACAGAGCUGGAGCGACAAAUCAGGACGUACCAACUUCAUAUUCAUGGUGAAGACAAAACUGAUCAAACAUCAGCAUCUGCUUUUUUAAAUGAUCACAUUUGGUCCCCAAUCAUAAAUAUGUGUUUAUGGUCUUGAUUGAUUGACAGCAUUAUAAUAAUGAUUAAUGUCUUUCUGUUUCUCCUCAGAUGAGAUUUCUGUGAAAACAGGCGAGGAGCUAAAGAUGUCUGUUCUGUUGUCUAAUGCUGAUAAAGUGGAGACAAACUCUAGUGGAGAGUGGAAGGAGGUUUGGAGCAGAACUGAUGGGGUUCAGAGCGAUCGAAUGAAUGAAACUGAUGGAAACCUGAUCAUUAAAGUGUUUCUGGACAGAGAUGCAGGAACAUACAGAGUUCUGGACUCUGAAGGAGAAACCUUGAUCACAGUGACAGUCAGAGGUGAGAGAAGCUCAGUGAUCUUUAGAAAUAUUAUCUUUAAACAGCAAAUUCAUACUAAACUGUGAGACUAACCUUUCAAUAUUCUGUACAGAAUCAAAGGAAAAACUGGACCACACUGAUAAAGACCAAACUGAUGACACUAAAUAUCAUAGUGAGUAAAACAGAGACACUGAGAGCUUCACAAAUAUCUUAAAGAGUGAAUGUCAAACUAAAAGAAGUGCUCUGUCUCUACUUUUCUCUUGCAGCUGUAGUCUCUUGGAUUGCACUGACUGUGUUUGUGCUUCUGCUGGCUCUGAUUCUGACUGCUGUCACGUUACACAAGCGUCUGCUCAGAGGUUACCUGCGUGGUGUCUCUCGAGGAGGACAAGAGACACUGAGCACAGGACACCCAGAAGCACUGAGGGCCCAUAAUGAUGUCUGCUGAGGGCCCCACAGACUCUGAUUAAACUGUAGAGGUGUGCAGGACAUUAGUGACCUCACUGCU